UACGUAGGGAGCAAGCGUUGUCCGGAAUCAUUGGGCGUAAAGAGCGUGUAGGCGGUCCUGUAAGUCCGCUGUGAAAGUCAAGGGCUCAACCCUUGAAUGCCGGUGGAUACUGCAGGACUAGAGUCCGGAAGAGGCGAGUGGAAGUUCCUGGUGUAGCGGUGAAAUGCGCAGAUAUCAGGAGGAACACCGGUGGCGAAGGCGGGUCUCUGGGCAGUAACUGACGUGAGGAGCGAAA
rnacentral:rRNA from 1 species